GGGUAUUGGCCUACCGUGGCAAUGACGGGUAACGGGGAAUUAGGGUUCGAUUCCGGAGAGGGAGCCUGAGAAACGGCUACCACAUCUAAGGAAGGCAGCAGGCGCGCAAAUUACCCAAUCCUAAUACAGGGAGGUAGUGACAAGAAAUAACAAUACAGGACUUUUUGGUUUUGUAAUUGGAAUGAGUUAAGUAUAAACCCCUUUACAAGUAUCAAUUGGAGGGCAAGUCUGGUGCCAGCAGCCGCGGUAAUUCCAGCUCCAAUAGCGUAUAUUAAAGUUGUUGCAGUUAAAAAGCUCGUAGUUGGAUUUCUGUUAAUAAUUUAUAUAAAAUAUUUUGAUGAAUAUUUAUAUAAUAUUAACAUAAUUCAUAUUACUAUAUAUUUUAGUAUAUGAAAUUUUACUUUGAGAAAAUUAGAGUGCUUAAAGCAGGCAUAUGCCUUGAAUACUCCAGCAUGGAAUAAUAUUAAAGAUUUUUAUCUUUCUUAUUGGUUCUAAGAUAAGAAUAAUGAUUAAUAGGGACAGUUGGGGGCAUUUGUAUUUAACAGUCAGA
rnacentral:rRNA from 1 species